rnacentral:rRNA from 1 species
UACGGAGGAUCCGAGCGUUAUCCGGAUUUAUUGGGCUUAAAGGGUGCGUAGGCGGCCCGUUAAGUCAGGGGUGAAAGACGGUAGCUCAACUAUCGCAGUGCCCUUGAUACUGGCGGGCUCGAAUGGACUAGAGGUAGGCGGAAUGAGGCAAGUAGCGGUGAAAUGCAUAGAUAUGUCGCAGAACACCGAUUGCGAAGGCAGCUGACUAGGGUUCUAUUGACGCUGAGGCACGAAAGCGUGGGGAUCGAACAGG